CCUACGGGAGGCUGCAGUGGGGAAUAUUGCGCAAUGGGCGAAAGCCUGACGCAGCGACGCCGCGUGAGGGAUGAAGGUCUUCGGAUCGUAAACCUCUGUCAGCAGGGAAGAACGGUCACUGUGCUAAUCAGCAGUGAAUUGACGGUACCUGCACAGGAAGCACCGGCUAACUCCGUGCCAGCAGCCGCGGUAAUACGGAGGGUGCGAGCGUUAAUCGGAAUUACUGGGCGUAAAGCGCUCGUAGGCGGUAUGUCAAGUCAAGGGUGAAAUCCCCGGGCUCAACGUGGGAACUGCCUGUGAAACUGGCAAACUGGAGUGUGUGAGAGGAGAGUGGAAUUCCAGGUGUAGGGGUGAAAUGCGUAGAUAUCUGGAGGAACAUCAGUGGCGAAGGCGACUAUCUGGCACAUAACUGACGCUGAGGAGCGAAAGCGUGGGUAGCAAACAGGAUUAGAUACCCUUGUAGUC
rnacentral:rRNA from 1 species